rnacentral:rRNA from 1 species
AUGUCGUCACCGAUCGAUUACAUCUUCAGGAACUCUCGCGUCAAAGGUGUCGUGAUUAUCAACAUUCUGAGCUCAUCCAGGAUAUCAAUUGGGUUCAUGAUGAGAAAUACCAUCCCUGCCUCGAUGAAUUGUAUUAUCAUCGACCACUUUAUUGCCUUCCCACCAACACAAUCUUGUUCAUGUUUGGUGUUAUACCUUGGGUUCCUUGCUGUCCAACAAUUGAUCUUCCUUACCUCGGAAGUAUUACCAUCUCUUUUUGUCAAGAAUGUGGUGAGAAUUUCACCACCUCUUAAUAAUUCUCGAUAUCAUAAUACUUCUUGCCAUCUUCGUUCAUUCCUUGGUCCCCGUAUUGUUUUCAACCGGAAUACCGACAAUGGAGAUAUGACGUGUGAAUUCAAAACUUCUAGCAACCCUAUUGCUUUGAAGUGA